AAUGAACGCUGGCGGCGUGGUUAAGACAUGCAAGUCGAACGGGACUUCGUGAAGGGCAACCGGAUCGAAGUUCAGUGGCGAACGGGUGCGUAACACGUGAACAAUCUACCUCGAAGUGGGGAAUAGCUCGGCGAAAGCCGAAUUAAUACCGCAUGUGGUGAUUUCUCGCAUGAGAGAUUAACUAAAGUCAGGGACCGUAAGGCCUGACGUUUCGAGAGGAGUUCGCGGCCUAUCAGCUAGUUGGCGAGGUAACGGCUCACCAAGGCUAAGACGGGUAGCUGGUCUGAGACGAUGAUCAGCCACACUGGAACUGAGACACGGUCCAGACACCUAUGGGUGGCAGCAGUUUCGAAUCAUUCACAAUGGGCGAAAGCCUGAUGGUGCGACGCCGCGUGAGGGAUGAAGGUCUUCGGAUUGUAAACCUCUGUCACCGGGGAAGAAACGCUUCAGGUUAAUAGUCUGAAGCCUGACUUAACCCGGAGAGGAAGCAGUGGCUAACUCUGUGCCAGUAGCCGCGGUAAAAC
rnacentral:rRNA from 1 species